rnacentral:rRNA from 1 species
UACGUAGGGUGCGAGCGUUAAUCGGAAUUACUGGGCGUAAAGGGUGUGCAGGCGGCUGAGUAAGACAGAUGUGAAAUCCCUCGGCUUAACUGAGGAACUGCAACUAAAACUGAUUUUCUUGAGUACUGGAGAGGAAAGUGGAAUUCCUAGUGUAGCGGUGAAAUGCGUAGAUAUUAGGAGGAACACCAGUGGCGAAGGCGACCUUCUGGACAGUAACUGACGUUGAGGCACGAAAGUGUGGGGAGCAAACAGG